rnacentral:rRNA from 1 species
CCUACGGGAGGCAGCAGUAAGGAAUAUUGGACAAUGCUCGCAAGAGUGAUCCAGCCAUGCCGCGUGCAGGAAGACGGCCCUAUGGGUUGUAAACUGCUUUUGAACUAGAGAAAACCCUCCUACGUGUAGGAGGCUGAUAGUAUAGUUAGAAUAAGCAUCGGCUAACUUCGUGCCAGCAGCCGCGGUAAGACGAAGGAUGCAAGCGUUAUCCGGAUUCAUUGGGUUUAAAGGGAGCGUAGGUGGACUGAUAAGUCAGUGGUGAAAUCUCUCGGCUUAACCGAGAAAUUGCCAUUGAUACUGUUGGUCUUGAGUACGGUUGCUGUGGGCGGAAUAUGACAUGUAGUGGUGAAAUACAUAGAGAUGUCAUAGAACACCGAUUGCGAAGGCAGCUCGCAAAGCUGUAACUGACACUGAGGCUCGAAAGUGCGGGGAUCAAACAGGAUUAGAUACCCUGGUAGUCCGCACCGUAAACGAUGAUUACUCGCUGCUGGGAGGUAACUUUCAGUGGCUUAGCGAAAGCGAUAAGUAAUCCACCUGGGGAGUACGCCGGCAACGGUGAAACGUCAAAUGAAUUGACGG